CUCUUAUCCAGAGCGGUGGAGGGACUGGCCCGAUGAAACCCGGCAACCGGCAGCGCGUGCUGCAAGGUGCUAAUUCCUGCAGAAUCAUAGACGAUUCUGGAAGAUAAGAG
rnacentral:ncRNA from 1 species